CAGAAAACCACGUGAUGGCUGCUGAGCAAUGAAUGGACUACAGUGUUGGGAGUGGAAAAGCAGAAGAGAGCUGAGGAUAAAGCCAGGGAAACCAUUGAUGGUCUGUUUCAGUAAUCCAGGAGUUAGAGAUUCAAAACUUGAAAGGACUGGAAUUGGUGAGAAAUGGUUGGAUUCAGGAUAUAAUUCAGCAAUGGAACUUGGACGACUUACGAAUAGAUUGGUUAUAGGUUGUGAAGAGGAAAGAUGACACUAUGAUGACUACUAAGUGACAACGGCCUCCUUGAGCUUCCUACAUGGGAUGCCUGCUGCAGAACUGUCCCUUAGUGAGCCGUGGUGAAGAGGAUCUGCAAAACGGGAUAAUCUUUCUUGAGCAGGGAGGUGAAAGAACCCAGCAAUGGCAUGGAUGGAUGUCCUUGGAAGAAUGGAAGGCCCCAGUGUGGUGGGGUGAGGCUUACAUAAAAGCACCCCCAAAUGCCAUUCACUUUCUUCUUCCUUCCUAAAAUAAUUGAAACUGUGGCUAUUGGAAAUUGCAUUUCAUAACAGAGAAAAAUGUUCUAGAUAUUUAUAUCCGAAAGGACCAAGAGAUUCUUAUCAAUGGCAGACAAAGCUGAAGAUUAUCACUUACAUGUCCAUUAUCAACUAAUGGCAGCGGUUUAAGUCAGGUUCCAGCAGGGAAUCUAAAAGAAUGUUGCAUAAUUCAAUAAAGGGAAUUUAAGAAAAGGAUUUAAGUACAAACAUGCCUAGAAUGCUCAAACAGUGGGUAGUAAGGAAAUUCCAAGAUUAGCAAAAGCAAGAAUCACCUACCAUUCCGAGGGAUGGAAAGACAAAGGAAGAAAACAAGAGGACCAGAGCCCAUGAUUUGGAUACAUUCAGUAGAAGAAACCCCAGUGAAUCUGCUGGUGGAAGGUGGAAGCAGGGACUACAGAUGAAGCAGAAGCACUGUACAAGAUGCCACUAAGCAGAAAGAAAGAGACACAACUGCUCAGCUUUCUCCCUCAACCCUGCACUGUCCAAUCUCUUGCCAGUGACUCUCAACGGCAGAAGCCUUGUUCAUUGACAAGUAGGAUAGAAAAACAGUGUGUUCAAAAGUCACUCCCAAAUAAAGCAGGGAAACAUUCCAUGUCCAGAGAACCCUCUAAACUAAAUCAGGAUUAAGGAAACUGAAGACAAAUCAUUUGUUCAAUAAAACAGAAGAGAAAAGUAAAUUCAGAAGUGUUAGGUGACUUACCUGAGACUACCCAACUACCAGAUGACAAAUUUCUAUCUGGCCUUUCAACUGACUCCAGAGUGAAGCUUCUUGGAUUAGGAUGCACUGCCCCCUACCAUCCUCUUAUCAUCACUGUGUGAGAAUUAAAACAAGAAGGCAGAGCAUCCACCCUUAUGGAAGCAGCACAUCUGGCCACUCACCUGUUUCCGUUAACUGAGAGAAUGACUGCAAAAGCUCAGUGAGCAUGGACUUGGGGGUUAAGAAUAACAGUGAGUAGGUGAAUUCACACACAUGGAAUCCACAAAUAACGAGAAUCAAGCAUAUGUCCAUCUUGAUUUGACCAAAAAAAAUGGAUGUUUAAUUUUUAAAAAUGUAUAUGACCAUGACUACCACUCAUUUUUAAGUAACUAUUUACUGAUUUAUUAUAUGAGUCAGACUCUAUGCUAAAUUUUACAGAUAUGGGAUGAAGGAAUGGCUUUUCCUCUCAGGAGCUCUUGAUUGAGUAGAGAGAAAGUCAUACAAGAAGUAACCAUGCAAUGUCAUAAGUACAUGCUUCAGUUAGGGUAAUAUUAGCUAUAAAAGACUUAAAACUCAACUCAAAUUAAUUUUAACCAUACUGGAAUGUAUUGCUUUAUAUCAUUAAACAUAUCUUGAAAAAGUUUACUUUGAAAGCAUGGUUUGAUCAUAUUUUUGUUUAUAUUUCUUGUGAUUUGUGUACCUCUCCCUUCUGUUGUAUCUUCACUCAAUCCUAAGGAUAGCUUGCUUUUUGGUAGCAAAAUUUCUAGGGCAGCUGAAGUCUCACAUCUACACUCCAAACUAUUGAAAGUUUGGCGUGUAAACAUGAGACUUCAGAUGCCCUAGAAAUUUUUUUUCUCCCAUGCCUUGAAUUAAAAAUGUCUUGAGCUGCAAUUUGCCUGUUCUUUUCUACACUGUCCUGUGCGCGCUGAAAAAUAUGGCCUCCUUGCUUCCUCACCUUCAAGCCCUACAUUCAGAAAAACACCAAAUUUAACCUGAUUAUCACUACGCCUCAUACUGUGACCUGAAAUGUCUCUUCAAGCAUUAAGAUGUUACCAUCACAGCAAUUACAGUCACCAGAGUAUUUAGAUGGUUCUGAAUGCAUUAUGCAAAUUAGGGCCCAUCCUGGGAGAUAAGGGUGGUGUUAUUCACAGCCAACACAUUAGUGAAACGCAUUGCAUAAAGUUAGAGUGAUGCCAGCCACAUGCAAUCACAAAGUCCUUCUAUUAUUAUAUUAUACAAAUAGGUAUAAACUAAUAAAAUAGAGGAGUACAAAUAAUUCUGUUUUGAAAACUUUACAUUGGUUAUUUUUUAAAUGUUGUAGCAACAAGGAUGUUACAU
rnacentral:lncRNA from 10 species